CUCUUGACCUCGUGAUCCACCCGCCUCGGCCUCCCAAAGUGCUGGGAUUACAGGCUUGAGCCACCGCGCCCGGCCCAGAUUUUGUUCUUAUUACUUAUCUUAGCUCUUCAGACAAGCUGCCUUGUCAAUAAAGUAUGGGACAGGAAGGGCUUUGUGCCAUUGGCUAAAUUUCUUUCUCCUCGGCCAGGUGGCUGAAGAUGAAGUGAGCGAUAACAGUGCCGAGUGUGUGGUGUGUCUCUCGGAUGUCCGGGACACCUUGAUUCUGCCCUGUCGCCACCUCUGCCUCUGUAACACCUGUGCAGACACCCUUCGCUACCAGGCCAACAACUGCCCCAUCUGCCGACUGCCCUUCCGGGCACUGCUUCAGAUCCGAGCCAUGAG